GCCCCGGUAGCUCAGUUGGAUAGAGCAGCGGCCUUCUAAGCCGCAGGUCGACGGUUCGAGUCCGUCCUGGGGUG
rnacentral:tRNA from 1 species